UCGAGCCAGUUCCAGUCUUUUGGUAAAUCUAGCCGGUUUGAUUUGUACCCUGGGAGUCGAUCCACAGUUUGAGAGCACCAUGAAGUUGACUGCACUGUUCUUGAUGAUGCUGAUCUUCAUCCUCGGCUUCGUACAGGCGAUUGCCCAAGACUCGAACUCGGACUCGAACUCGGGCGAAGUUUGAUGAUAUAUGAUAUACCAGUUGUGCAAUGUUUUUCAAUAAAUGAGACAUUUGAGUAAAAAUCACA